GCUGCGUGUGUGGUCGGUAAAAGGGACCCUCCACACUUUUUCAGAACCCCUGAACCGAUCUGUGUGAAAUUUGGAUAUGUUUGUCCCCCAGAUCAGGGCUAUCAGGGGAUAUGUAAUUUGUGGGUAUACCUUGUGGGGAAAGGGGUGUUCUAAGUUUUGGAGAAAUUAUGUGCUCUCUGCCUGGAGAUAAUUGAUUUAUUCCUUAACUUAUCUCAAUAUCUCCCAGGCAGAGAGGAGGCGUGUAAUACUGUAAAUCUGUGUGAUGAUUGGCUGUUGCUUUUGUUUGCUGUGGGAGGUCCUCUUGCAGGAGGAUUUCUCAUAAAAGCCCGUGUGUUUUCAAUAAAGGCUAUUCCUGUUACACCCUUCAUGAAGUCUAGGCUCAUGUUUGGGAGCUACUCUACUUGUUGGGAAGAAUCACCUUGGAACUGCAUUUCAUCUAUUCUAUUCCUCUACUCCCUGCUGCAGCUACAAUCACUCAUGCUCAGCUGUUGGGAGAGGGAACCAAGACCACAGCACCAUAACCACUGCAGGUCUUAACAACUGGUGGCAAGCAACGGGAUUGAAUGGAACGCAUAAGGACAACUGGUGAAUGGCCCAGCAGUACAAGAAACUAAAAAGGACCACUCUAAAGGAUCUGCUGGAAGCUCGGGGACAAGUAGCCAGCAACAAAAAGAAAGCUAUCCUCAUAGCAGAAUUGAUGGAGGGCGACCAAUCCAGGAGCAUGGCGAAUGUCAGCCAGGAGGAAGCUGAAUUCCAACAAAAGGUGAUGUGGAGGCUAAAUCUUUAUGGGCCAAAUCCCACACCUGAGAUGGUGUCCCAAGUGCUGGCACAAGUGAGCGCAGAGCGGAGAGCGCUGCAGGCAAGCGUGAACCAAGGGGACAACGCUUCCCUAGCUGGAUCUAUAAAUGGAGGGCAGCGGAGAAAGAUCAACUAUGCUGCUUUUAAAAGUUUUGCAGAUGGAGAUAUGGAAAUUGACGCAUACCUGCAGGAUUUUGAGCAUCAAUGCGCAUUGGAAGGUCUGGAAUCAGAGCAAUGGGCUGCGAUUUUAAGCAGUAAACUGACAGGCCGAGCAGCGGAGGCGUACCGAGCAGUUCUUGACACAGCCAUACACGACUACGCCAGGGUAAAGGACAUUCUGCUAGCCAGGUAUGCCGUGACCCCAAAGACUUACAGAAAGAAGUUUCGGGCAUUACGGAAAGGGGGCCGAGACUCCUACACCGAGUGGGCCUUUAGGAUGUAUCGGGCAGCACAAAAUUGGAUACAAGGCUGCCAAGCUACAACGCUAGAGGAAGUACUACAACUUUUCUUGCUAGAACAAUUUUUUGACCACACUCCUGCAGAUACCAGGGACUGGGUCAGAGACAGGAAGCUGUCCACAGUCGAGGAAGCAGCGAAGUUAGCAGAUGAGCAUCAUGAGGGAAGAAAAGGAGAAGCGGGUGGGAACCGUCCUCUGGUAGGGUACAGUGCCCCAACGCCAGGUCCUGUAGCCAACCCCAGACCUAACCCGGUACUACCCACGACACAGCCUACUUUUAAUAGAAGAGCCCCUGUAGUAUGUCACCAGUGCAACCAGCCAGGGCACUACAAAAUGCAUUGCCCUCAGCGAAGCAGAGGCAACUGGGAGCGGCCCCCACCACCACCAAGGGCCGCCGCUCACCACUACCAGCAUGAACCCCUGGAAGAACACAGCCUAGAUGCAGAGCAGUGGGCCAUACUACAUGAGGUGAACCUAGCCCAAGCCGAGGGAGACAACCGGGUGCACCACAGACAAUGGGUCCCCAUAGACGGAAAAGAGGCAGAGGCGCUACGAGACUCUGGGGCUACCCUUACCUUGGUACAACCUCACACGGUGUCUGCAAAAGCGCGCACCCAUAAGACUGUAGCCGUAAGGGUGACAGGGGGCGCCAUCCACAAGUUACCCACAGCCCGGGUACAGUUAAACUGGGGCACCGGAGCCAAGCAGAUGGAGGUGGGCAUGUUGGGAUUACCUGCGGAAGUUUUGUUGGGGAACGAUUUGGGGUGCCUAACUUCACAGCUGACUCACCCCGAUUCCGCUGGAACCUGCCCCGUGACGACCAGGGCACAAGCCCACCGUGCUGGACCGACACACUCUGAGGAACCACAGGUAGGAUCCGAAACCCCCGUAACCUGCCCUAUCCCUAUUCCUUUCUGGGGCGCUCCCCAAGAUUUUGGCCAAGCCCAGCAGUCAGACCCCACCUUAGCAGGGUACAGGAAGGCAGUAGGGGUCUCUAAGGAAUGUAGUGUCCACGAGAGCUUUCACUGGGACAAGGGACUGCUAUAUAGGGUCACAGGGGGAGUGGGGCAGGGGGCAGCCCAAGUUAUAAAAAGACAGUUAGUCGUGCCCCGUAAAUACCGGGCCGAGCUGCUAAAGCUUAACCAUGAUAUCCCGCUAGCAGGACAUCUGGGUAUCAAGAAAACUAAGGACCGUCUUACCCAGACGUUCUUCUGGCCGGGGAUAUCCAAAGAUCUGCAGACCUACUGCAGGACAUGUGACACAUGUCAAAGGAUUUUUUUUUUUAUUCUGUCAUCAAACUAAUAUGGUGACCAGGGAUCAUGUGACCAAGCUCAUGUAUGCCUUUCUUACAGCGAGAUAAGCUUUACCUUUUGAUAUGGUAAUUGGGUAAUUCAAUACCUUUACAAGUCAGGAAAGAGGUAACCACUUCCCCUAUCUCCAUUCCUCCCUGUUCCUUCUUGGCUGUGCAACAGAGCAGUCCCUUAAGCAGACAUGGCCUAAUUUCUAUCAUGGUGAACUGUGAGUGGGAUUUUAUAAGAUGUAGUUGUUAUUGUUAGUUAGGUUGUUGUUGCUGUUGGUGGUGGUAUAGUUAGUUAGAUUGUGUGUCAUUAUUUGUAUGUUGUUGUUGUUUUGUCUCUGAAUAAAUAUUUGUUAAAGUAGACGGACCAGAGUUUAUACGUGUAUGCGUACAUAAUAAUUUAUAGAGUUUGGUAAUUUACCACAUUUGGCGACCACGAAUUUUAGACUUCUACAACAAAUGUUUGUGAGGCGCAAUAACUACCAUAUUGAUACAUAAUCUAAAAAAAAGAGACUUUAUAGCAUAGGAUUCAUUUUGUUGAAACAAAUAUACAUAUGUGUUUUGUUGACUGUUUUGAAUUUGUGUAUUGUGACUGACAGAACAUCUUUUGUUGCAAAUUGUAGCAUUUAUAGGUUUAACUUUGUUUCUGUACAGUUUUAAAGUAUUGGUGAUAAAAGGGGAAAAUUGUAUAGUUUCACUGCAUUGGAACCUUUGAUGUUUUGGCCAUUUUUAAUUGCCCAUGUGCUGUAUUGUCUCUCUCUUGUUGCAACUAACUAGAAUGAAACUUAAUCUAUUUUAAUUGUUUUCUUAUGUGUUAAAUUGUGUGGCUUCACUGCAUUCUGAGUUUAAAUAGGAAACUUUUUUGUUGUUAUCUUUUGUCUGUUUGAAUAAUUGAAUUCAGGAUAGGAGCAUAAUGUUUGUGCAUUGUGACUGACAGAACGCAUUUUGUUGCAAAUUGUAGCAAUUAUAGUUUAAUUUUGUUUAUGCACCCUUUUAAAGUAUUGGUGAUUAAAAGGGAAGAUUGAAUAGUUGCACUGCAUUGGUACUAUUGAUGUUUCGCCAUUUUUAAUAGCCCAUGGGCUGUAGUGUCUCUCUCCUGUUGCAACUAACUAGAACUAAACUGAAUAUAUUGUAAUUGUUUUUAGAUGUUACAUUUUGUACAUUUUGUGGCUUCCCUGCAUUCUAAGUUUAAAUAGCAAACUGUUUUUUUUUUUGGUUAACUUUUGUCUGUUUGAACCAUUGAAUUCUGGGUAGGAGCAUUGUGUUUACACGAUAAAGGUAUUGGGGCUAAUACAGUGUGGUGGCUAUUGUUUAGCCAGGCUAAUAUUUCCAUUUUUACACUGGAGUGUGUUUAAUAGAAAAUGAACAGUUUGUAUUUGAGGUAAAUAUUAUGAAGUAAAAGUGCCUAUGUUAGAUUGUUAUAUGGUUGGGAAUUAUCAUUGUGCUGAAGUUACAGUCAGGUAUUUUCCAGUUCCCAUACCUUCCUUUAAAUCAUUCUGUUUAUCUGUAAACCCCCCACACUGCACUUAAACAAAGGCAGAAGGGUGGUUUUGUGCUUUGCUAUCUGUGGACAUUUGUUGUAUUGAGACUGUGAAGUUUUUUUUCUUAAAAGACAAGAGUUUGUUUGAAUAGGUUAAUGUAAUUAAGUUUCUCAAAUGGUUCAAUCUCUUUGGAGCCAGUUUCAGUUUUUUUUUAAAUGAAUCCCAUUGUUAAAAGCUUGUUGUUUUUUUUACUUGGUCUGCUGGUCUAUUUCGAUUAAAGACUCAGGGAGAGCACGGUUUUAAAAUGUCAUAUCUAGGUACUAAGUAUUUUUCUGCAGAAGUACUAGAGUACUUCAAGAAUGACAUUGACAAACAUGAUGGACCAUAUGAGCUUCCAGAACCAGCAGGCCCCAAUUGUGGAAAAUAUGAAGGUUUCAUGGAUGUUUUGAAACAAGAAAAAGAAAAGCUUGGUGGCACAAGCAGUUGUUGCUGCAAUAGGGGGUUUGACAAGCAUGGUACUCAAAUUGCAGCAAGCUAAUUUAGUAACCACUAAUAAAAUGGAAGAUGCUCUUGAUAAAAGAGAUUGUUUUAAAAUAGCUGUCUUAAGAACAAACAAAAUGACCGAGGGGUUGGAGAAGGAAUUAAAGGAAAUAGAACAACAGAGAGAUGCCUAUAGUGCUAAGAUCACUGAACUCCAAAACCUAGUUAUGGAAUAUAAAAUGAAAACUAAAGAAAACAUAAAUAAAUGGGAUAAGGAGAUUCCUAAAGUAUGCCCAGGCCAGUCUCAUUUUAUAUCUAAAAGUACAGAACCAGUGCUCGGAACCAAACACAAAGGAAAUGCGCCAGUUGUUAACUGUGUCCCACAAUCCCCUUUAAUAAUAACCGAACACUUUAAUGCAAGAGAAAUGCCUACUAGUUUCUCUAGACAGACAAGCACUAUGUCAAUCACAGAAAAAGAAAAUUUCCAGAAAUGGUAGGGAAGUAUGCCAAAUAACAACUUUAAUACUUUUACACACUGGUUUAUGAGGGGAGCAAAUAGAGCUAAAAAAGGAGGUCUUAACUUAGAGGAAUGGACAGAACUUUUAGAAUAUGCUAUGGGUCCUUUGGCUAGCAGACUAUUGGGAUUCAAUAACAGUUUGUCUGAUCAGGCAGGAAGAAUUGCUGCAACUAAUUUCUAUCUACUCAGCAUAGAGAAAGAAAUAGCUAAUAUUACGAUGAGGCCAGCAGAUGGUCCUAGAGAGGUAGCUCAAAGGAUAUUUUUCUGGUAUACACUACGCCAACCUCAACAGCCCCUGGUGUUGGGCUCAUCAAAACACAUUGCUAAAGUAAUGGAAGCCCUUCCCUGGGAGUGUCAAGAAUUUGUCAGGCUUUUUGAUCCAACACCAGCAGACUUAGAAAUGCUACUAACUAGAGCUGACAAUUGGUGGAUUAAGCAUCCUUUCUCAGAACAGGCCUUCUCUGUUUCAGCCAUAAGAACAUUCAAGGUUGACUCUGGUCGAGAUAUAGAUGGUAAAUGGAGAAGCCAGAGGUGGGAUGUACCCCAGAACAAGAGGGAUAAUGAGAACUGGAGACCAAAACAGGACUUUGACAAAAGAUGGAGAGAUCCACAGAGGGACCAUAGGAAUAGGGACAGUUCUAAAGGAAGUAAUGUAAUGGGAGAUAAUUGGAAAAAUAGAUGGGAGGAGCCUAAGGCAAUCAAUAAUAAUUGGAAUAAUAAUAAUACAUGGAAGAGGCUAAAAAGGAGAGAUAACUGGGAAAAUCACAGUUGGCAAGAAAAACAGAGAAACAACAGGAACAGUUAUUGGGAGAAUAAUUGGAAAAGGAACCAUAGAUGGGAUGAGCAUCAGACCAAUAGACGGAAUUGGGAUAAUUGGAGGAAUAAAGAAGGGAAUAGAGACUACUGGGACCUAAAGAGACAGACUGAGAGAUUGGAAGCAGACGUGAAAGCGCUUAGGGAACAGAUGAGGGAGGGAAAUACUGAUCAAUUGGGGGUCCCCAGCAAUGAAUAACUCCCAUAAUGUUUGUUGUCCUCUACAGCUGUAUGUAUGUUUGUUUUUCUUUUGUUUCUAUAUUUUAUCUGUCUCACCAUUAUCUCGUAACACUCCAGUUUAAAGAGGACCUUAGUAUGUAUUGUUAUAUAUAUAUAUUUUUUUUUUUUUUGUCAUAUUAAGGAUAAGCCUCUAAAUUCAUUCAUUACAGUCAGGUGGGCCAAAUUCCAAAUAAUUUUUGUUUUUAUUAGUUUAGCACGCCUGCACUGCCAGCUAUGUUUUAUUUAUUUUUUGAUGCUGGAUUAAUAAUUAUAAAUUCAUAGAUUAAGUGAAUUGUUGCCAAUGUGAGGCUUAUAUUUGAUCACACUGGAGAGAUGUGAUAGUGUAACUUUCUGUUGGUUUACAACAGUAAAAACAUUAAAAGCAUUUUUUUUCAUUUGGUUACCAACAAAUAUAACCUCAAGUUGAUUUUUUAUUUUGAUUUUUGAAUAGCAACAGACAGUUUUCUAUAGAUUGCACGCUGCCAAACUGUGUAAUGGUAGCAUUCAAUCUACUUUUUUUUCUUCUCUCUCCAUCUUUGAUGCUUUGUUUUUUUUUUGUUUUGUUUUUUGUCAUUAAGAAUAUAGGGAAAUUAGAUUGUUUGAGUGAAGAUGGUAUAAAUAAUAAAGUGACAAUGUAUGCUAUUUGUUCUAUUUGGCUAUCCGCAGGGGGUUAAAUAGUUAUGGGUAUGAGAAUUUGCACCUACAUUCCAUUGCAAAUACAUUUUUCACCCUUACAUCUUUCCCACUCACGUUCAUGUAUAAUAAUUUUCGGUGUAAACUAUGUACAUUUUGUGAUUAUUGCAUGUAUUCAUCAGUAAAUUAUAAAAUAACUAAUAUGGUUUUGUGUUCAACUCUCCAUCAGGUGUGGAGUAAAUGUCUAAAUUAAUAAAAAUUUCAGGAGACAUUUGUGGGUCUUUUACAUACCUCUAAAAUGUAAACAUAGCCUUAAGACACCACAACCAAAUAGAUUUUAUUAGACAAAACUAGUUAAGCCUUUGACACAAGACAAUAUGCUGAUUACUGUUGUACAUAUUUCAUUGUCUGUGUUUGAGUCAAAGAACAUUUUAAUUGGAAGGCCCAGAGAGGCGAAGGUAACUGACAUGUCCUGUCACAGUUUACUAUACAGCUGUAGAAGUGCUGGGAUUACCAAGACAAACUAUUAACCUGAAAAUGAUUACUAUUCAGAUGAAGAAGUGCUGGGAUUACACGUCAAACUAUUAUCCUGGAAAUGGAUACUAUACAGAUGAAGAAGUGCUGAGAUUACCAAGUCAAACUAUUAACACAGCCCAGAAUGAGGGUAAAGGAACAGCAAGAAGCAGGAAUUUGUGUCAUUUCAAGGUGGUCACAGAAUGAGUUUACCCUACACUCAUGAACUUGCAUGUGUCAUUAAACCUACAAACCUCAAGCUUUGUAAUGGAUUGGCAAAGACAAUAUUCAAGAAGAGUUCAUUCUAAAAUCACAGCUAUCAAGCACACAGAUCAGUCACAGUCUUCAGAUUCCAGUCCCAGGCAAAAUGAAACAUCAUAUUGUGUCAUAAACUAGUGAUAAUUACUGUAUGGGGUUGAUUGCGUCUAGAUAUUACUACUUCACAUGAACACAUUACCAUAUAAUAUUAAUGAACAUUAAUAUUAAUGAAUUAACCCACUUGGGCAGUGGUUAAUUUAAAAAAUGGAACAACUGAAAACAAUAGAAAUUGGGGGAAUGUGGGGUGAUGCAACCCCUGUUUGACUAUAUUCUUUCUCUCACUUUUAAAUGUGCUCAACAUAAGAGAAAAAAAAGUGAGGGAAUGUGGUGACAUUCUGUCAUCAAACUAAUAUGGUGACCAGGGAUCAUGUGACCAAGCUCAUGUAUGCCUUUCUUACGGUGAGAUAAAAUUUACCUUUUGAUAUGGUAAUUGGGUAAUUCAAUACCUUUACAAGUCAGGAAAGAGGUAACCACUUCCCCCUAUCUCCAUUGCUCCUUGUUCCUUCUUGGCUGUGCUACUGAGCAGUCCCUUAAGCAGACAUGGCCUAAUUUCUAUCAUGGUGAACUGUGAGUGGGAUUUUAUAAGAUGUAGUUGUUAUUGUUAGUUAGGUUGUUGUUGCUGUUGUUGGUGGUAUAGUUAGUUAGAUUGUGUGUCAUUAUUUUUAUGUUGUUGUUGUUUUGUCUCUGAAUAAAUAUUUGUUAAAGUAGAC